rnacentral:lncRNA from 1 species
GGUGCACUCUACUAUAAAAUCUGCCAAUAUUUGGGCCUUUAUUGCUGGUCUAGGUCUGUAGUUGAUGUCGAAUUCUGUGAGCUCAAUCGCCCAUUUUGCCAUUCUUCCGGAGGUGUCAGCCCGGUGCAAAACCGCUUUGAUGGGUUGGUCAGUGAGUAGCGUCACAGUGUGCCCUUGAAAGUAGGGCCGGAGCCUCCGAGCUGCAAUCAACAAGGCGUAGGUCAGUUUUUCCAAUUUGGUGUA